GCAAAAAAAUGUGGUGUCUCAUGGUUGAGAGAUUUAUACACAAAAUAGUCAGGUAAUGCCAAAGGAUUUCUCGUCAAGCGAGUUGGCGCUUUACUGCCACAUCAGUGACCUUGAGAUUUGCAACCCCACCACAAAGGCUAUGCAGACCUGCUUUGAUAUGCUGCCUAUUUGUUGAAAUGACUCCUGCGCCUCCGGUGGUUAUACAGAUGGGCCGAGUGGUUUUGGUGUAAAUCAAAGAAGAAAUCGCUAGAAGAUUAACGCACAUGGAAGCCUUCACUAAUACGCCGUGUAUGCAGACGAGGUCUGCAGCAGAAGUGUGAGAUAAAGAAGGAAAUCAAGAAGAAUUGGAUGAAAGAAAAGCAAACACAGACUCUGGCCACAGGCUGGCGCAGACAAGCUGUUCAAUCACAGGCUGGAAAAACCUUUUGUUAUUCCUGUUUUACAGUCAUCAAAGCAUAAAUCAUACCCACUGCUAUAUGGAAUGAAAGUCUAUGUAAGAUGAUGUCGUGUAAUACCACUUCACAGCUCAUUAAUGGAAGUGCUUUCAAUAUUGUAAAAGCUUUCAAAAUAACUAGUAAACCAACCAAGCAAACUUACAGUAUAUUAACCAAUGGUAAUGCUCAUUAUGAUAUCUGGAUAUUUAUUUUGUUGUGAUAACUGAAUUCUAAAGACUUCCCUGCAGUCAAAAGGCUGCAGGUUAUAGUAAAAAUCACAAAAUAUUUGCAAUAUUCUACUCUCACCUUAUU